AUUUUUGUGAAAUAAAAUAUUAAUUAUAUAUAUAUUUUUUGAAAAUAGAAAAUAAUAAUUUUAACGUAUGUCAAAAAUUAAAAUGUUGCAAACUAUAAAGUACUGAAUUGACAAAAUGUAUUCACUUCGCCAGUUACCCGUAGAAACUGCUAUUUCCCCCUGAUACAAAAACAUGGUGAUUUUCCAGUUUUUAUCCCGUGCACAAACGUGCUGCACUUCUCAUAUGUAUUCUCCUUAAGUUCGCAAUUCUGACAUGUAUUCACAGCUUCCAUUUCUUACAUACUAAUAUUUUUGGAAUAUAGGCUAUGGAAAGUUGGUCAGCAGUGUGAUGGAAGUCAGAUAAUUGCUCACAGAAGCUUUCACAUCGCGGUACAUGCAUUGUCAUUUGCAGGGCUUCACAUUCAGUGAUGAACUGGUUGGAUGCUUGAGGCUUAAAUACUUUCACUGCAAUAAAUGUCUCAUUGUCUGGUGGACUUGAAAUUUUCCCUUUGUACACUAAACCAGAGUUACCCUCGCUGACUAAGUUGUUCGGUGAGAAUUCUUCAGUUGCUUCAUGGAGUAGCUUGUAGGACAAUUUGAUGGGUGAUGUGUAUGUCUUUGACCCCAAAAAACUCGGUGGCUUUUCUUUUCUUCUUCUAAGCCAUAUAUAGUAACCAAUGGCAAGAACUGGUAUUGAACUAAUCACAAUCAAAACUUGUACCCACGACAUUUUGUGUUUAUGUGAUCCAUGACUACUGCAUCUUGGUAGCUGGAGUUCAGGUAUGCCUCCACAGAGCCCUUUAUUACCUACUAUUGAAAAUGCACUUGCAUUUGCAAAUACUCCUUUCUUAAGUACCUCUCCCUCGAGAUUAUUCCUGCUUAGAUUUAAAUAUUUCAAGGACAGGGUUUCCAAGAAAUCUGGGAUUUUCCCAGAUAACUUAUUACGAGAAAGAUCAAGAUAUUGCAAGCCUCUUAACUUUUUCAUUGAUUGUGAGAUGUUACCCUGAAUGAAGUUCCCUUGCAUGUUUAGUGAAUUGAGGGCAAUGCAGUCAGCAAGCUGUGUUGGAAUCAAACCGGAAAGCUGAUUUUCUGAGAUAUCCAAUUCAACUAAGGUUUUCAAAGCACCAACACCUGCUGGUAGUGAUCCAACCAAAUGGUUUUGAGAAAGAUUCAACUUGAGAGAAAAAGGCGAAAUAUCAAAGAGUUUGCUGGGUAUACUUCCACUGAGGUUAUUUUGAGACAACUCCAAGAGGACCAACAUUGGACAAUGUCCAAAACUGGGAGGAAUGGUUCCAUUCAAUUCAUUAUUUUCUAAAUGUACCUCGUCCAGCAUAGAUAGAUUGCCAAUGGAAGCAGGAAUGUUCCCUGAAAGUCUGUUGUUAGAAAGAAGAACUCGUUGCAACUUCCUGAGUUUUGCAAUUUCUGGGGGAAUGAUGCCUGUGAACCGGUUACCUUCUAAUGAUAAAAAUAUCAAGUUGAUGAAUUUACCUAUCUCUAAAGGGAUGCUACCAGAAAUCCGAUUAUCUGCUAAGCUUAUCAUUGUUAGCUCAUUUGAUAGAUUAGCAACAGAAUGGGGCAAUGAUCCUCGAAAAUUAUUGCCCCCUAGCUUCAAUAUUUUUAAGCUGCUGCAAUUGAUCAACGAGUUGAGGAAACUCAAGUCACUUUGCCCCCCAAGUCCUAGAUUGUUACUUUCCAGAACUAAAUUUUGAAGAUGCAACAACCUUCCAAAAUCUAUAGACACGGGGCCGCUAAAAUUGUUGAACUGCAAAUCAAUAACUUGAAGCCUGGAAGCAUUCGAAAGUGAUAUGGGAAUGUUCCCGGUGAAUUUGUUAUUUGAUAGCUGAAUUUUUUGGAGAUUGGGAAGAGCAAAUCCAAAGUCUGAUGGUAUACUUCCUUGAAGUAGAUUAUUGGCCAAAUUGAAGACAUUCAGUAAUGAGAGAUUGAAAAUAGGAGGAAUCAUACCUGACAGCUUAUUGGAAAAAAGUUCCAAACUGACUAACCUAUCAAGUAGUCCCAAGGUAUCUGGUAUGCUUCCUUCCAAAGCAUUUCGUCCUAAGCUCAGAACUUUUAGCCUGAAAAGGCGGCCUACUUCUUGAGGAAUCGUGCCUUGAAGAUUGUUGUUGUAGAGAAUGAUUUCACUCAGAAAACUCAUGUUUCCGAUAUAAGGAGACAUAGAACCCCCCAAACCUUUAGAAGAAAGGUUUAUGCUGGUGACUCUUUGUUUGACCUUGCUGCAUAAAAUUCCUUCCCAGUUGCAAAAAAACAGAGACGAAUUCCACGAGCCAAGAGCUCCUUGAGGAUCAUGAGUAAUCUUUGCUCUGAAUGCCAACAAUGCCUGUCGAUCUCUUUCAUUUCCACUUAGCCUAGCAUUACAAGUCCAGAUGAUAAGAGCAAGGCAGACGAGGAACAAGGAUAGUACGUAUGUCCGGUAUUUGUCAACUCCGCUCAUUUUGAAAUAUUUCCUCCUUAUUGUUUCCUUUGUUACAUUCUAGACCUUUUGUGUUGAUUUAUAUACCAGUAAUGAGUGCUGAGAAGUGAGAACUGCUGUAAAUUGAUCUGAUGUUGGAAUGCAAGUUCUUGGAAUCACAUUUGCUACCAGAAAAACCUAGUUGUCUGGAAAUUUCCCAGGAAAUAUGCUCACUUUUAAGAGAUAUUUGUAAGCCUGUGAGUCCUGGUACUAAAUUAUUGUUGGCUCCACUUUAGACAGUAAAUAUCCGACUGAUAUUUUAGAAAACAGGUCCAUCUAAAUCUUAGAUAUCAGAGAAA